UGUUGGGUUGUAAGCUCCCAAAGCCAAGUUUCGCAGGAAAGAGCUAUUCCCGGAGCACGACAGUCAGCAGCAGUUUGAGAAGUGAUUCGUUGCCCUACUGCAGAGAGCGCCCAUCCACCAGCUCCUCCUCCUCGGUGACAGAUCACAGCUAUCGAUGCCCUUGCGAUCCUGGGAGCACAGCGAGACAGGCACCGCUAGCGAACGUAGUGUGUGUUCCCGCUCGUCUCCCGGAUACAGCAGCUCGGCUGCAGCAGGCACCACCUGAUGGGAAAGCUACUCCAUUCAGAUGCUUGAGGUACAUGAAAGGUGAAGUUCCAAGAUGCUAAGACACUUCCAAGUGAUUAUGAAUGAAAAUAUGCCCCACAGGAGGAAAACAACUUGAAAACAGCAAGACAAAUUAAAAAGUUAAUUGGCUAAUUCCAUAAAGGCAUUGAAGCAAAGGCGGCUCCUGAGGAGGGAUCUGACCAAUUUGAGAAGAGUAUGCCAUGUGUAAGGGUCCGCUUGGAAGAAGACCCUAAGAUGUUUGCAUGAGACCCUGACAAAUAGGAGGAUGAGGCUGACAUCAGUGAUGGAACAGAGAAGGUGUUGGGACAAUAUGAUAAGGGCAGAAGUGGAAAAGAAAGGCGAGGAAAAAAUGGACAAGGUGAAGACAAGCUGGAACUUGAGGCUGUGAAAUGGGGUGCCAAUGUGUUCUGUCACUGUUGAAUAAGGAUGAAAAAGUGUCUCCCCCUUUUAAUGCACUAUUACACAAGGGAGCAUAGAGAUAUCUGUGACCUAGUGGAAACUAUUGCUAAGUUAGAGUAUUCUUAAAAAAUUAAAUGAGUUAUGCUUUUAAUGGCUUAGUGUCCAAUCCUGCAAACAGUUGCUACCAGGCAUAGUGCUUACUAUAUCGAACACUGCCAUUGGGCUCAAUCCUGGCCCACACUAAAUCCACUUUGAGCUCUGGCUGCCCAAAGGGGACUUAAAAGUGUCCUAAAUAGGCAACCAAGGACUCCUGCAUAGUCUGGUUUAGGAGGCAUGACAGGAAAUAGUAUAAGAGCACCUCAGGGACGCAUUAUAAAUUAGCAUAAUUUGGACCAGGCUUCCUUAAAUUAUACUAGGGGCUGGACCAGUCUCUGGCUUGCCCCAGGAUCAGAGUUUGAGGGACAGAAAGGUGGCAUAAAGCAACUUUGGCCUCCUUUGAAGUGGACCAAGUACUGCUCCAGUGCACCAGAAGACUGAGCCCAUUAACUUCUGUGGGACGACUCCUGAUAGGAAGCGCUACAAUUGGUAAUAAAUAUUUUCAUGAUUGUGUCCUUAAUCCAAAUUGAAGCAACCAGGGUGGGCCUAAUAUGGUCACGGGGCCACUAUCAAGUAGGUGAAGCCACAAAAUUAAUCCAACUAAAAGUAAUAGAUUUUUGUGGGGACAUCUUCUAGAUUCUCAGUGUUUUGUCUUAAUGAAUCCACCACUUAAGACAUUUAAAUAAUUUGAUAGACUAUAUUUUUUUACAAGCAGAAAACUAAAUGUCUUGAACUCCUCCUACUGAUUUUGCAGCAACAAUCUGGCAAUUACUAUUCAAACAAGGGAGAAUAAGGAAAAAACUAAAACAAUGUUUUAAAGGGUUUGGGCUGCACCUUGUGAAGCAGAGAGUUAGGCACAAAACAUGCAAAAUUCUGUUCUUUUUUUAGACUCAAUGCUUGAUUGUCACACUGGCUUUACACCAAUAUAAUUCCAUUGAUUUAAGUGGCAUCACGCCUAAUUUGCACUGAUGUAAAUAAGAGGAGAUUCAGCUCAUAUACUAUCCUGUAUGUAAAUGAAUUCUAACUGAAAUUUAUUUCAUUACGGGACAUGCUUAUAGCAUUUAUCUUGUGUGUCUUGCUCCUUCUUGUCUUAACUAGCCACCCAUUCAAUCCCUCUAAGUUCUGGUUUGCGUCUGAUGCUAGAAAUUAACUCUUUUACUCUCUGACUAACAGCAUGGUGUCCCCACUGGACAAACAGGCGACAGGAUGUCUAAUGCAGUUUUCAUAGCCACUCUAGCAGCUAAUCAGAAACAUUUAUUGCUAAUAGCUUUUUAAUUUUUUUAAUUAUAUUUAUUUAUUUUAUUCCAAACAUCAUUUGUUUACCCAGGAGACUGAACUCCUGAGGUGAUGCAGAGGUCAUUGCUCAACAGUAAACUGCUUGAAUUAUCAUGCCCAUUAACAAAGGAAGCUAAAAAUAAAAUGUUUGGGAGAAUUUCAAAAAUAGAUGAAUGUCAAAGAAAUAGUACUACAAACAUUUUGGUCAAUUGUUUUCCUGUAGUAUGAUUAAUAAUGACUCAUUUAAUGACUUGUUAUAGUUUUUAAUCAGAACAUAUUGUACAGACUUUUUAUGUUUAAUGAUUUUACUCAUUUAUUUGCUUUACGUGCUAA